AUUUGGUGGUGGGGGCAGCUAGCACAUAACCUCUUAAAUCUCUCCCAAUACUCAUAUAAUGACUCCCCAGUUUGUUGGCAAAUGCCACAGAUUUCCUUCCUUAUACU